rnacentral:rRNA from 1 species
UGGGGAAUUUUGCACAAUGGGCGCAAGCCUGAUGCAGCGACGCCGCGUGAGGGAUGAAGGCCUUCGGGUUGUAAACCUUUUUCGCUCAUGGUCAAGCCGCAGCUUUGGGUUGUGGUGAGGGUAGUGGGUAAAGAAGCGCCGGCUAACUACGUACCAGCAGCCGCGGUAAUACGUAGGGCGCGAGCGUUGUCCGGAAUUAUUGGGCGUAAAGGGCUUGUAGGCGGUUGGCCGCGUCUGCCGUGAAAUCCUCUGGCUUAACUGGGGGCGUGCGGUGGGUACGGGUUGACUUGAGUGCGGUAGGGGAGACUGGAAUUCCUGGUGUAGCGGUGGAAUGCGCAGAUAUCAGGAGGAACACCGGUGGCGAAGGCGGGUCUCUGGGCCGUUACUGACGCUGAGGAGCGAAAGCGUGGGGAGCGAACAGG